UGGAGAAGAAUGUAUUUGAUAGUAACUGAUCAGGUAGUGACGGUAUCCAACCAGACAGGCACGGCUAACUACGUGCCAGCAGCCGCGGUAAUACGUAGGUGGCAAGCGUUGUCCGGAUUUAUUGGGCGUAAAGCGAGCGCAGGCGGUUUCUUAAGUCUGAUGUGAAAGCCUUCGGCUCAACCGAAGAAGUGCAUCGGAAACUGGGAAACUUGAGUGCAGAAGAGGACAGUGGAACUCCAUGUGUAGCGGUGAAAUGCGUAGAUAUAUGGAAGAACACCAGUGGCGAAGGCGGCUGUCUGGUCUGUAACUGACGCUGAGGCUCGAAAGCAUGGGUAGCAAACAGGAUUAGAUACCCUGGUAGUCCAUGCCGUAAACGAUGAGUGCUAGGUGUUGGAGGGUUUCCGCCCUUCAGUGCCGCAGCUAACGCAUUAAGCACUCCGCCUGGGGAGUACGACCGCAAGGUUGAAACUCAAAGGAAUUGACGGGGGCCCGCACAAGCGGUGGAGCAUGUGGUUUAAUUCGAAGCAACGCGAAGAACCUUACCAGGUCUUGACAUCCUUUGACCACUCUAGAGAUAGAGCUUUCCCUUCGGGGACAAAGUGACAGGUGGUGCAUGGUUGUCGUCAGCUCGUGUCGUGAGAUGUUGGGUUAAGUCCCGCAACGAGCGCAACCCUUAUUACUAGUUGCCAGCAUUUAGUUGGGCACUCUAGUGAGACUGCCGGUGACAAACCGGAGGAAGGUGGGGACGACGUCAAAUCAUCAUGCCCCUUAUGACCUGGGCUACACACGUGCUACAAUGGAUGGUACAACGAGUUGCGAGACCGCGAGGUUUAGCUAAUCUCUUAAAACCAUUCUCAGUUCGGAUUGUAGGCUGCAACUCGCCUACAUGAAGCCGGAAUCGCUAGUAAUCGCGGAUCAGCAUGCCGCGGUGAAUACGUUCCCGGGCCUUGUACACACCGCCCGUCACACCAUGAGAGUUUGUAACACCCAAAGCCGGUGAGGUAACCCUUCGGGGAGCCAGCCGUCUAAG
rnacentral:rRNA from 1 species